CCCUUUGCAUGUCGAACCGGCUUUUCCUAUAUUGGGGGAGCCGGUUUGCCGGCUAUGGCGAUAAAUGACCGUCGCAAUAAACCUAUCGGACCCGGGGGCGGUACCCGGCGCCUCCACCACAGCCCAAAGGGCCUUCGAUCUUUGGGUUGCGGCGGGGGCGAAAUAGGAUCGACGAGGGUGUAAAGGGCGCGUUUUCGCUCGGCAUGGUUCCGCCGUUAUCGGGCCAUCUCAAUAGUUGCAAAUGACAACUAUGCUGAGGCUCGUCUCGCUGCGUAACGCAGUGCGAUAACCUCUUUUGAAGCCCUGGCCGUUAGCCCGGUCAGGCGGGGUUCGGGAGCACCUGGCAACAGAAGCUCCCACU
rnacentral:tmRNA from 1 species